ensembl:lncRNA SILC1 sciatic injury induced lincRNA upregulator of SOX11
GCAGGCUGCCAGCUGGAAUAAAAACCUGACCAUUAGACCGAGCGUGGUGGCUCACGCCUGUAAUCCCAACACUUUGGGAGGCCGAGGCAGGCGGAUCACCUGAGGUCAGGAGUUUGAGACCAGCCUGGCCACCAUGGUGAGACCCCGUCUCUACUAAAAACACACAAAAAAUUAGCCGGGCGUGGUGGUGGGUACUUGUAAUCUCAGCUACCCGGGAGGCUAAUGCAGGAGAAUCGCUUGAACCCAGGAGGCGGAGGUUGCAGUGAGCCAAGAUUGCGCCAUUGCACUCCAGCCUGGGCAACAAGAGCAAAACUCUUUCAAAUAAACAAACAAAACCUAAGCAUUUGAGGGGUUUGGCCUGGGCAGUGGAGCUUGUGAGCUAUAUGAGCUGGAAUCUGAGUCAAGGCUGGGCUGGUGAAAGGAGUUCACUCAAGUUCCCAAGGUAUUCUGUCCUCCAGGACUCUGAAUCACCUGGGAGGAGAAGGAAUUGUGGCGGGCCUAACACCUUUUCUUUCCCAAACACCAAGAGCAGGUUCUUUCUGUUACAUCCAUUGAGGUCACAUUCUUGAAGUGCAUUUUGAGGAAGUCAUUAUUUUCGCUACAGCAGGGACUGAUGUAUCAGUCUAUUAGAAUUCAGAAAAAAGUAAGCAAACAAAAAACGUGUUGGAAUUAUUCUCUUCUAGCAUUUUGAAAUGUACAAUGGUUAAUGUUAACUAUAGCCACCAUGAUGUAUUGAAGACCAGGUCUUAUUCUUUUUAUCUAACUGUACAUUUGUACCCAUUAACCUAAUGCUCAUAGCAUCAAGAAAAGAUCAAUAUUUAAGGUGACAAAUAUCCCAAUUAUGCUGAUUUGAUUAUAUGAAUGUGUUGAAUUAUCAUAUGUACUCCCAAAAUAUGCACAUCUAAGAUGUAUCAAUAAAAAUAAAGACAAAAAUUAAAGCUUUUACAGUAGAAAAAA